rnacentral:rRNA from 1 species
GAUGAACGCUGGCGGCGUGCCUAAUACAUGCAAGUCGAGCGAACAGACGAGGAGCUUGCUCCUCUGACGUUAGCGGCGGACGGGUGAGUAACACGUGGAUAACCUACCUAUAAGACUGGGAUAACUUCGGGAAACCGGCGCUAAUACCGGAUAAUAUAUUGAACCGCAUGGUUCAAUAGUGAAAGACGGUUUUGCUGUAACUUAUAGAUGGAUCCGCGCCGCAUUAGCUAGUUGGUAAGGUAAAGGCUUACCAAGGCAACGAUGCGUAGCCGACCUGAGAGGCGGAUCGGCCACACUGGAACUGAGACACGGUCAAGACGCCUACGGGAGGCAGCAGUAGGGAAUCUUCCGCAAUGGGCGAAAGCCUGACGGAGCAACGCCGCGUGAGUGAUGAAGGUCUUCGGAUCGUAAAACUCUGUUAUUAGGGAAGAACAAAUGUGUAAGUAACUAUGCACGUCUUGACGGUACCUAAUCAGAAAGCCACGGCUAACUACGUG